rnacentral:tRNA from 1 species
GCCUGGGUGGCUCAGUCGGUUGAGCGUCCGACUUUAGCUCGUGUCAUGAUCUCACGGUUUGUGGGUUCAAGCCCCGCAUCAGGCU